rnacentral:pre_miRNA from 1 species
GGGGGGAGGCCAGAUCCUGGGCUGUGUCCCGGCGCCCUGUGCUCCGGGGCCUGCGCUGUUGGAUUUGCGCUCCCGGGCCGCAGCCCCCU